rnacentral:rRNA from 1 species
AGCAGCCGCGGUAAUUCCAGCUCCAAUAGCGUAUAUUAAAGUUGUUGCAGCUAAAAAGCUCGUAGUUGAAUUUCGGGGUUAAUAAGUUGGUCGUGCCAAUGGUAUGUACUGGCUUUAUUGAUUCCUACCUCUUGAAGAACUGUGAUGCCAUUAAUUUGGUGUUGCAGGGAAUCAGGACUGUUACCUUGAAAAAAUUAGAGUGUUUAAAGCAGGCUUAAGCUUGAAUACAUUAGCAUGGAAUAAUGAAAUAGGACGUUUGAACCUAUUUUGUUGGUUUUUAGGUAUCGACGUAAUGAUUAAUAGGGAUAGUUGGGGGCGAUUAGUAUUCAAUUGUCAGAGGUGAAAUUCUUGGAUUUAUUGAAGACUAACUACUGCGAAAGCAUUUGCCAAGGAUGUUUUCAUUAAUCAAGAACGAAAGUUAGGGGAUCGAAGACGAUCAGAUACCGUCGUAGUCUUAACCAUAAACUAUGCCGACUAGGGAUCGGAUGAUGUUAAUUUUUUAAUGACUCAUUCGGCGCCU